UACGAAGGGUGCAAACGUUGCUCGGAAUCAUUGGGCGUAAAGCGCACGUAGGCGGCCUGUUAAGUCGGAUGUGAAAUCCCUCGGCUCAACCGAGGACGUGCAUUCGAAACUGGCAAGCUCGAGUAUGGAAGAGGGUCGCGGAAUUCCCGGUGUAGAGGUGAAAUUCGUAGAUAUUCGCAAGAACACCAGUGGCGAAGGCGGCUCACUGGCCCGGUACUGACGCUGAGGUGCGAAAGCGUGGGGAGCAAACAGG
rnacentral:rRNA from 1 species